UACGUAGGGUGCAAGCGUUAAUCGGAAUUACUAGGCGUAAAGCGUGCGCAGGCGGUUAUGCAAGACAGAUGUGAAAUCCCCGGGCUCAACCUGGGAACUGCAUUUGUGACUGCAUGGCUAGAGUACGGUAGAGGGGGAUGGAAUUCCGCGUGUAGCAGUGAAAUGCGUAGAUAUGCGGAGGAACACCGAUGGCGAAGGCAAUCCCCUGGACCUGUACUGACGCUCAUGCACGAAAGCGUGGGGAGCAAACAGG
rnacentral:rRNA from 1 species